GACGAACGCUGACGGCGUGCUUAACACAUGCAAGUCGAACGAUGAAGCCUAGCUUGCUAGGUGGAUUAGUGGCGAACGGGUGAGUAAUACGUGAGUAACCUACCUUUAACUCUGGGAUAAGCCUGGGAAACUGGGUCUAAUACCGGAUACGACCAAUCUCCGCAUGGGGUGUUGGUGGAAAGCGUUAUGUAGUGGUUAUAGAUGGGCUCACGGCCUAUCAGCUUGUUGGUGAGGUAACGGCUCACCAAGGCGACGACGGGUAGCCGGCCUGAGAGGGUGACCGGCCACACUGGGACUGAGACACGGCCCAGACUCCUACGGGAGGCAGCAGUGGGGAAUAUUGCACAAUGGGCGCAAGCCUGAUGCAGCGACGCCGCGUGAGGGAUGACGGCCUUCGGGUUGUAAACCUCUGUUAGCAGGGAAGAAGAGAAAUUGACGGUACCUGCAGAGAAAGCGCCGGCUAACUACGUG
rnacentral:rRNA from 1 species